rnacentral:rRNA from 1 species
UACAGAGGGGGCAAGCGUUAUUCGGAAUUAUUGGGCGUAAAGGGCGCGUAGGCGGCUUUGCAAGUGGCGGGUGAAAUCCCUCGGCUUAACCGAGGAACUGCCUGCCAGACUGUGAGGCUUGAGACCGGGAGAGGUGAGUGGAAUUCCCAGUGUAGCGGUGGAAUGCGUAGAGAUCCGGAAGAACACCGGUGGCGAAGGCGGCCUGCUGGGCAGUUGCUGACACUGAGGCGCGACAGCGUGGGGAGCAAACCGG